rnacentral:rRNA from 1 species
CCUACGGGGGGCAGCAGUGGGGAAUAUUGCACAAUGGGGGAAACCCUGAUGCGGCGACGCCGCGUGAAGGAAGAAGGUUUUCGGAUCGUAAACUUCUAUCAGCAGGGAAGAAGAAAGUGACAGUACCUGACUAAGAAGCCCCGGCUAACUACGUGCCAGCAGCCGCGGUAAUACGUAGGGGGCAAGCGUUAUCCGGAAUCACUGGGUGUAAAGGGUGCGUAGGCGGUAGGGCAAGUCAGAUGUGAAAGUCCGGGGCUCAACCCCGGGAUUGCAUUUGAAACUGUAGGGCUUGAGUGCAGGAGAGGGUAGUGGAAUUCCCAGUGUAGCGGUGAAAUGCGUAGAUAUUAGUAGGAACACCAGUGGCGAAGGCGACUCUCUGGACUGUAACUGACGCUGAGGCACGAAAGCGUGGGGAGCAAACAGGAUUAGAUACCCUUGUAGUC